AUUAUUGUUUUGGUCUUUCCUCACUACUGUACCCGUUUAUACUCAUCUGUCUUAUAAUGCCUAAAUUAGUCACCUAGGACGUUGGGUGAAUCACAAGAGUUUUCUUGUGGAGCAGAACACAGAUGGUUGAAGAAACUAUCUGGUAAACUGCUAGAUCGUUCGCAAACCCAAUGCUUUUAGAGGAUUAAGAAUGGGAAAUUUGGUGUUUAGAAACACAACCCUGACGUCAAUCGUCAAGUGGUUGUUGCAGUUUAUUGUGGAACCUAAAUCUUGGCACAAAAUGACUAAGAGCACUCAUUGUCUCAGCUGAAUGAAUGGGAUGCUAGAAUUGGAGUCAGGGUAAAACACAAUGGUCUUGGAAGUUCGGAGUGGUUUUCACCUUCGGUUCUGGGAAGAUUAGUAGCUAGGUUAUACAUCUGUUUUGUUGGCUAUGAAUUUAAAUAUCUUUUUUUCACUAUCAGUUUAUUAUAAUACUUAUUUAGUUUUAGUUUUACUUUUUGUGCAGGUACCAUUUCGAUGGAACCUCUCGAAAAUUCUUUGAGGGCUGGUACUUCAAGGUCUCAAUACCAAAAUGUAGGCAGAGUUUCUGCUUCAUGUAUUCUGCAGAGAACCCAGCUUUUCAAAAGAGAUUGAAUAGAUUAGAGAAUGCACAAUAUGGACCUCGGUUUACGGGAGUUGGAGCUCAAAUUCUGGGGGCUGAUGACAAAUAUAUUUGCCAAUACACUGAAGAAUCUCAGAACUUUUGGGGGAGUAUGUCUUCAUGUUAAUUCUUGUGCUUAUAUCUGGCUGGUAACAAUCGUUUAUAACUGUUGAUUAUUACCUUUUUAGGCUAAUUGGUAUGCCACGAUGUAGUCACUUAUUAUGGUUCGGUUUCUACUCUUUGAACAUCUUUACUAUUUUCCUGAUAGGUCUGUAUGUAUUUAAUGGUAGUGACAAUUGGACGUGUUGGAUUUAAAUUCUAGGUUGGGUAGAUACAGGGGUUCAAGGGAGCAAGUGCUCUUCCUCAUUUGUUGGGAAUAGGAAUUGGAUCGAUUGACAGGUACAAGAAUACAGCCAUAAGCUGGUUGCUGGUUAACUAAGAAUCCUAUCCAUUCUUUUAUGUUAAUUUUCUUUCAAUCGUGGACUAAUUAUUUCUAUUUGUUACAAGCUCUGAAUCAAAAAAUUUCUUUAUUUUAUUUUUUGCUUUAGAUGUCCUUUCUUUUUGUAACAUAUAGGGAGUCAAAUAUCAAAAAGACUCAGAGAGCUCCAUUUCAAAUUCUUCUUUACUAGGGAGAGAGAGAUAGACAGGAUCUCCUAUGGUUGCCCAUGCCAUGGUGCUUGUUUAUUGCCUACAAUGUGUUGGACUUGGACCAGGAGGGACCUGGCCGACCUUGUAUACAACCUGCCAACCCUUCAUGCUUUAAUUUUUCUUGUCCUCCUCCUGGCAAAAUGAUGUAUGCUUAAAUAUUAUGGACAUAGUGAAUAGAUGAUUUUCUCAUUUAGAGUUAUAAAGCCAUUUAAAUUGUUAAAGUUGCUUGAAGAUUCCUUGGGAGAAAGAUUGGAGACAGCAGGAGGCCGGAUUAUGGAUUCAGAUGAAGCUGAUGGAUAAGUGAAAGAAGGGAAAUUGGAAGAAAAUAAGGUACUGGAUGUUUUAAAUUUAUGCAUCUUUAGCUGCAAAUUGUAAUCUAAGCCUAAGGAGUCCUCAUAUACUCGUCAUUCUAGAUUCAUUGCGCCUUUCAAGUUCACUUGCAUUUCUUUUUUGACUACUCUUCUUUCAUGUUCAGAAAAGAUAAGUUGAUAGCGGAAAAGGAGGCUCCACAUAGAAAAAGUUGAAAGUGGACAAGGUUGUUGCUGCAACAGGAAAAGCUACUCAAUCAGAGAGCAACACUGCAACUGGAGCACCACGUGUAAAACCAGAGUUGACCUUGCCAAUAAUGUAUUUUCUGGACUACCUUGGCAAUUCUUUGGAGAUUUUUACUAAUUCUUUAGCUUACUAUUAGAUUACUAAAUAAAAAAGGACUUGCAAUUGUUGAGAGCAAUGAGGGUUGGGAUGAGCAGUACAUGACGCUAAAGCUUGGUACAAGGGCAUCUUAAAAUAUCAUUAAUUUCAAUAUGAAUUAGAUGAAGAGAAGUGGUUAUGUUAUUCAAUAGCAUGCUGGCAUAUUUCACAUUAUGUAUUCAAGUGUAUAGGAGAAUAUUGGCAUGUUUCACAUUAUGUAUUCAAG
rnacentral:lncRNA from 1 species